rnacentral:rRNA from 1 species
AAAAAAGGUAAGCUACUAAGAGCGAAUGGUGGAUGCCUUGACUGGUAAAGGCGAUGAAGGACGUACUAGACUGCGAUAAGCUACGGGGAGCUGUCAAGAAGCUUUGAUCCGUAGAUUUCCGAAUGGGGCAACCCAAUGUAUAGAGAUAUACAUUACCUAUAUAGGAGCGAACGAGGGGAAUUGAAACAUCUUAGUACCCUCAGGAAAAGAAAUCAAUAGAGAUUGCGUCAGUAGCGGCGAGCGAAAGCGCAAGAGGGCAAACCCAGUGCUUGCACUGGGGGUUGUAGGACUGCAAUGUGCAAGAGGUAAGUUUAGCAGAACAUUCUGGAAAGUAUAACCAUAGAGGGUGAUAGUCCCGUAUGCGAAAAACAAACCUUAGCUAGCAGUAUCCUGAGUAGGGCGGGACACGAGGAAUCCUGUCUGAAUCCGGGUCGACCACGAUCCAACCCUAAAUACUAAUACCAGAUCGAUAGUGCACAAGUACCGUGAGGGAAAGGUGAAAAGAACUGAGGUGAUCAGAGUGAAAUAGAACCUGAAACCAUUUGCUUACAAUCAUUCAGAGCCCUAUGUAGCAAUACAGGGUGAUGGACUGCCUUUUGCAUAAUGAGCCUGCGAGUUGUGGUGUCUGGCAAGGUUAAGCAAACGCGAAGCCGUAGCGAAAGCGAGUCUGAAUAGGGCGCUUAGUCAGAUGCUGCAGACCCGAAACGAAGUGAUCUAUCCAUGAGCAAGUUGAAGCUAGUGUAAGAACUAGUGGAGGACUGAACCCAUAGGCGUUGAAAAGCCCCGGGAUGACUUGUGGAUAGGGGUGAAAGGCCAAUCAAACUUCGUGAUAGCUGGUUCUCUCCGAAAUAUAUUUAGGUAUAGCGUUGUGUCGUAAUAUAAGGGGGUAGAGCACUGAAUGGGCUAGGGCAUACACCAAUGUACCAAACCCUAUCAAACUCCGAAUACCUUAUAUGUAAUCACAGCAGUCAGGCGGCGAGUGAUAAAAUCCGUCGUCAAGAGGGAAACAACCCAGACUACCAGCUAAGGUCCCUAAAUCUUACUUAAGUGGAAAACGAUGUGAAGUUACUUAAACAACCAGGAGGUUGGCUUAGAAGCAGCCAUCCUUUAAAGAAAGCGUAAUAGCUCACUGGUCUAGUGAUUUUGCGCGGAAAAUAUAACGGGGCUAAAGUAAGUACCGAAGCUGUAGACUUGCACACAACUUAGAUUAUUUAAGUUUAGAAUAUGAGAAACUAAGUUAUAUGUUUAGUUAUAUUUUUACUGAUUUUUAUAGAGUAAAGAUAGAAAUAAAACUUAGUAAAAUCAGUAAAAAUAUUCUUAGACUAAAGUUAAGUAGUUUAAGUUGUGUGCAAGUGGUAGGAGAGCGUUCUAUUUGCGUCGAAGGUAUACCGGUAAGGAGUGCUGGAGCGAAUAGAAGUGAGCAUGCAGGCA